rnacentral:misc_RNA from 1 species
UUAACUUAUUAGGUUUUGCUCAGACGACACUGCACGACAGGGUUGGGGGGUCCUCUGGCGGGCGCGCCCCGGCCGGAGCCGGGAGCCCCCGAGCACGCCCGGGAGCGGCCCGCCAAAGCAACACGCGUAGAUAACACAGGGUGGGAGGUCUACCCCGGAGGGCACGAUCUCUUUAAUGAUCCUUCCGCUGGUUCACCAACGGAAA